ensembl:lncRNA
UGCAUGUGGUGGUUGGCCAAGGUGCGGCGGCCGUUGUGUGUCUUGGCAGAGCACCUUGUUGGGUCACAGUUCAGCAGCGGAGCUUUAAAUGAGGAGGACGGCCGCUUCCUCCUCUGUCAGCGUUACCUGCUCUCUCACUUACAGACCCUGGGCUGCUUUCAUCGGCGAGGAGCAAAAAAGUAACUGUGGAUCCCUCCACCCAGGCCACAAAGACAUCAAGCACAGAGCGGCAGGCACGCUGAGCUUUUCCAGUCUCCCCCGGAGAGUAUUACAAAAACCAAAAGGUUUUUUUGAUCGGGUUUGGACGGGAGGCGACAUACCGGGGGAUGAAAUGGAGAAACGGAUCCGCCCCCCUGUGGCUCACCAGCGCGUCCUAACGCCACGACACUCCUGAGCCCCGAAGCCGCGGAGCCUUCACCAGUGAGGCCUCAUGGAAAAACCCAAGUGGACACUGCGAGGAGGCCCAGCUCUGUGGUCCUGGCAGGGGAAUAUGAUGUGAUAAACACACAGUGAACCUUCAAACCAGCGCAGUCAGCCGGUGCCCGGUGGUGAUGGUGAGAGGCCGGCAGUGAGGUUUUCAUGCACUGUGUGUGUGUGAGGGAGGGGGGGGGGGGGGGGAUCUGCAGGGCACAUACUGUUCCCGGAAGCAUCGGUGGGUCACAGAAGAUGGAAAGAAAGCACGUUUAUUAUCUGUGUGGAGCGGGCGGAGGCAGCAGUGACAUCCUCCUGUCGCUGUUUAUGAAAAACAGGCCUAAUUAUCCGGCCCAGGCCGCCUGCUGCAGCUAUUCUGGUCUGUAGCGAGCAGGUGACCCGUGUCACAGCAAACUGGGUCAUGUGUUCGCACGUCAUCCCCCGUCUAACCCGAGUGUGCCCCCGCUUGUUUUUCAAUUAAAGGCCGACCAUUGCUGCGUUAGUUCCUGUUUGAAUCUGUAGCCGGCGGACAUCGUCCAUGCUGUGCACUUGGGGGGCCGGUCCGUGUGUGUGAUGGAGCUGCGCAUUGUAAAACCAGCCUUUAGAGCAGCGGAGGACACGUGCACUGCUGGAUUCAUAUAUGGGCCGCCACAGGGAGGGAGCACAUUAACAUUUAUUCUUUAAUAAAUUAUCUUUUUAAAUAGUUAAAUCAUGGGAAUAUUCUCUCAGUUGAUAGCGGCUGGUAUAUAUAUAUAUGUAUAUAUAUAAAUAUAUAUAUAUAUGUAUAUACUGUAUGCGGUCUUUCAGUUUUUGAAAGUGUUGAUUUGUAGAGAAAUUGUUUUAUCAACGUUUGUCUGUCAGUAUUAGUUUGGGUAAAAAUGCACAUUCAAGAGGAUU